UGAUUCAGAUGUUGAUGUUGAUAAGAAGCGGAAGGUUGUAAAGAAGCAUAGUAGAAGCCGAGACGAUAGAGCUGAUGAUUCUGAUACCAGUGAGGAUGCGGGGGAUAGAUCCAGAAAGGAAAUUAAGAAAUCCAAACAACCUCGUAGGAGGCAUGAUUCAGAUGAAGAUGAUUCUGGAGAUGAUGUUGACAAGAAGAAAAAGGUUGUAAAGAAGCAUAGUAAAAGGCGAGACGAUAGAGCUGAUGAUUCUGAUACCAGUGAGGAUGCGGGGGCUAGAUCCAGAAAGGAUAUUAAGAAAUCCAAACAACCUCGUAGGAGGCAUGAAUCAGAUGAAGAUGAUUCUGGAGAUGAUGUUGACAAGAAGAAAAAGGCUGUAAAGAAGCAUAGUAAAAGCAGAAACGAUGAUACUGAUGAUUCCAGUGCCAGUGAAGAUGCCAAAGAUAGAUCCAUAAGGGAAGUCAAGAAACCCGAACAACCUCGUAGGAGGCAUGAUGCAGAUGUAGAUGGUUCUGAAGAUGAUGGUGACAAGAAAAGGAAGGUUGUAAAGAAGCAUAGUAAAAGCAGAAAUGAUGAUACUGAUGAUUCUGCUGCCAGUGAAGAUGCCGAGGAUAGAUCCGCAAAGGAAGUCAAGAAAUCACAACAAC
rnacentral:lncRNA from 1 species